AGAGAGUUUGUAUCCUGGCGUCAGGACUGAACGCGUGGCGGCGGUGCGUUAACACAUGCAAGUCGAGCGGAGUGCAGAGGUCGGAAGUUUUUCGGAAGGUAAGCCUUUGUGUUUUAGUCGGCGGACGGGUGGAGUAACGACGUGGAGUAACCUAGCCCCACUACCGGGGGAGUAACAGUUUAGAAAUGACUGCUAAUACCGCAUAAGCGCACGGCGCCGCAUGGCGCAGUGUGAAAAACUCCGGUGGUAUGGGAUGGAUCCGCGUCUGAUUAGCUAGUUGCGGGGUAACGGCCCACCAAGGCAGCGAUCAGUAGCCGACCUGAGAGGGUGGCCGGCCACAUUGGGACUGAGACACGGCCCAAACUCCUACGGGAGGCAGCAGUGGGGAAUAUUGCACAAUGGGGGAAACCCUGAUGCAGCAACGCCGCGUGAGUGAAGAAGUAUUUCGGUAUGUAAAGCUCUAUCAGCAGGGAAGAAGAAGGACGGUACCUGACUAAGAAGCCCCGGCUAACUACGUG
rnacentral:rRNA from 1 species